UUGACCUCGGAUCAGGUAGGGAUCUGCCGAACUUACGCAUAUCAAAAACAGGG
rnacentral:rRNA from 1 species